UCGGAAUGCAAAUAAUAUAUAUAUGGAUGGUACAAUCUUAAGUGAAGUUGAUGCUAUCAGAUAAAUAUCCCCAUGACAUGAAAAGCAAAUUUCUAAUGAAAAUAAUGAAAUCACUGCCCAAAUCCCAUGCAUAUUAGUGAACAUACCAAACCAUGUUAAUUAAUGGAUUCUCAACAUGAAUUGUAUGCCAACAUCCAGGACAACUUUGUAUAAUUGUGCUCCAAAAAGCUACAAAAGAUUGUGAUGUAGGAAAAGAAAAAUAAGCUCAGUUAGUUUUCCUAUUUUAAGUUGGUUGGUUUUGGUUUUGGUUUUUUGGUUUCUUAUUUUAAAAAGGAUUCUUAUUCCUCUUAGUUAUUUUUUUGUUUAGGGUCUUCACUUCCUUUUCUCAGCAGAUUUAGGAUUCCACAUGAAAUAUAAAAGCAUGUCUUUCUGUUAUUUUGUAUCAGACUUCAAAAUUUUACUAAGAACAGAGAAUCAAUACCCAGUUUCAGAGUUCCUUAUGUUUAGAAAAUCAGUGUUUGCUAAUUUUCUUUAGCAAUUCACUGCAUAUGUUGGCAUCAGAGCAGGAAUAUCUGAUGUGGCAGACGAAGUAGGACACAACCAGCCUAUUGCUCAAGAACAAGGGCUGUCACAGCUGCAGGCUAUGGAACAGAGAUUCAAAGUGACAAAUGGAGGAAAUCUGCAACAGGCUGGAUGCAAUUAGGAUGGGUGAUAAUGAGUGCAGAAGAUGGAGGAAGAGGAGAACAAGAAUAUGCUCACAACCCAUCUGCUGCUCAACGUAAUCCAGCAGGCUGUAGACCAACUGUUAGCAAUGAUGAAUUUGAUCAAGAAAAUGGUGGCUACGCUCAGGUUGUUGGAACUCGUGGUAAUAAGAGACAAAAGACUUGGCGAGAACAUGGAGAGAAUAGACAAAAUCAGUGGGAACCUUAAGAAUUCCGUUUGAAAGUUUAUAUCCCAACUUUUAACGGAAACUUUAUCAUUGAGCAGUGUUAUUGAGGUGAGAGGCAACAAGAAACCGUAUGGCCUUAGCUGGGGUCUACAAGAAUUUAUUGAUGAUUUUGUAGCUCGCACGGCUCAAGGAUCUCCAACCAGUACUAUAUGGGGUACUUUCUCAACGGAUUAUGAGAGGACAUCCAAGUAAGAAUCCGUUCGCAUGAAAUGGACAUCCCAGAUGGAUGUGGCAAUGGACAUCCCAGAUGGAUGUGGCAAGGAAAAUAGAACGGGAGCUGAAGCUUCAAUCAACAGAGAUGUUCUUAACCAGAAACGAGGAAGGAGGAAUCAUGGUUUUAAAUAGCGGACAUUACAUAACAACCAUUAUGUAAAGGAAAAUUGCCCUGCCAUUACUGUUAUCGUUGUUAAAUAACGGGAUUUUAAAAUUUGGUGCAUAACAGCCGUUACUAAAAGGUAAAGGCUAUCACCGACUAUUACUUAAAGGCCGUAACAGCCUUUAUUCUUGUAAGGCAAGUUUUGAUAUUCACAAUACAUACAUUGCAUUAGGUUGAUUAGACAUCUUGAAUGUGGAUCAAGUUCAUGAAUAUUCACAAUAUCUCUUGGUGCACGAUGUUUGCAGAUAACAUAGUUUUGAUAGAUGAGACACGAGAAGCAGUCAAUAGAAAGCUAGAGCUUU
rnacentral:misc_RNA from 1 species